rnacentral:lncRNA from 1 species
CCGGGCGCCCCACGGAGACCCCCGAAAGCCGCGAGCUUCGGCGAGGCUUUGCGCCGGCUGUGCGGAGGGACCCGCUUCCUGUUCCCGGGACAGAUCCGGCGGGAAAAGGCAGAGGAGCCGCCGGUCGGCUCGCAGGUCAGCCUCGCGCUCCCGGCUCCCGUCCUACGGCCCCAGUCAAGCACAAUCGGCGGGGGUUGCCCGGCCAGGCGGGAGCGGGAGGGGCGUGCGCGGGAAGCCCCCCCGGGAGCCGCGCCUAGCCUGGCCGGAUUGGCGGCGCUCGGCCCUUCGGGCUCCAGGCAGCCGCCGUGCAGUCGCUGCGCACCUUGAACGGCCAGAUCUCCGGCUUCAUUGUCCACCAGGCCAAAGCGCUGGAAGAAGAGGAGGACCAGCCCCAGGCCUCCCUGCCCGGCGGGAGCAGCACCCUGAGGAGGUCCGUGUCUCUGGUGACCCAGCUCCUGAUGGACGCCCAGGAAGCAAAGAAAAUUGCAGCACCAAGGGGGUGAUUUACCUGUGAAUUUUGCGGGGAGCUGCUUACAGUGAAGGCCGGUCAGGCUGCAUUUCCCCACAGCUUCUGUGAGGUGCAUGGAACUGAAUGGCAUUUCUGUUCAAUGGCUCUUUCUGCAACUGCCCUGGAGGGGAAUCUGGGACUUGAUGCCUUGAGAGCAUGGCUGGUUCCUGGGUAGAUUUAUGUAAGAUUUUUAGGUUAAUAUUGUGUCAAAUCAUAUUUUUGUGUUUUUAAUCAAUCAGUUUAAUGGAAAAGAAAUUGUAACAAAAGCUGAAAUGUCAAUGAAAUCCCCAGAGAUUAAAAGACCAAGCUUCAGCUAGUCUAGCAUUCUGAAAAUUAUAUGUGCACAAUGUGUGUACAGUGUGUGUAUUUGUGCGUGUAUAUGUUUGUUAAAAAUAUUUGCAUAGCAGUGCAAGUAUUUAUAAAAGCCAUGUACACGAAUGUGUUAUGCUAUACAUUAGGAAGAUAUAUUUGCAUAACUGGGAUUGGUUUAACAAAAAAUUGCAUCCCCAAAUAGACACAGUAUGAACUCCAGUUCUCUCCUAGGGAAAUCUCCCCACUACCACACAAUUUCACUCACAGGACAGCCUCAGCACUAGAGUACCCCAAGGAGAGAGUACCCCAAGAGUUCCUGCAGGUGGAGGGAGGUUUAACCCAGAUCUUCGUCCAACACCUGCCCACCUUCCUGCCAAGCAGAGUGGCACCAUUGUGGCUGUUUUUCCCUCUCUUUGGAAAAUACUUGUAGUGCCUGGGAUGGGGAACAUUUCCAGAGAGAGAAGAGGCAUCCACAGCAGGAGAGUUGGGUUCCAU